rnacentral:pre_miRNA from 1 species
AUAAUACUCGCUCCGUCCGAAAAUACUUGUCAUCAAAAUGGAUAAAAGGAGAUGUAUCUGAAACUAAAAUACGUCUAGAUACACCUUCUUUUAUCCAUUUUGAUGAUAAGUAUUUCCGGACGAAGGGAGCAGUAG